GACAGAGGGUGCAAACGUUGUUCGGAAUUACUGGGCGUAAAGCGUGUGUAGGCGGUCUCAUAAGUCGGAUGUGAAAGCCCCGGGCUCAACUCGGGAAGUGCAUUCGAAACUGCGAGGCUAGAGUAUCGGAGAGGUUGGUGGAAUUCUCGGUGUAGAGGUGAAAUUCGUAGAUAUCGAGAGGAACACCGGUGGCGAAGGCGGCCAACUGGACGAAUACUGACGCUGAGACACGAAAGCGUGGGGAGCAAACGGG
rnacentral:rRNA from 1 species